AGCGAACGCUGGCGGCAGGCCUAACACAUGCAAGUCGAACGAACUCUUCGGAGUUAGUGGCGGACGGGUGAGUAACACGUGGGAACGUGCCUUUAGGUUCGGAAUAACUCAGGGAAACUUGUGCUAAUACCGAAUGUGCCCUUCGGGGGAAAGAUUUAUCGCCUUUAGAGCGGCCCGCGUCUGAUUAGCUUGUUGGUGGGGUAAUGGCCCACCAAGGCGACGAUCAGUAGCUGGUCUGAGAGGAUGACCAGCCACAUUGGGACUGAGACACGGCACACACUCCUACGGGAGGCCGCAAUGGGGAAUCUUGCGCAAGGGGGGAAAGCCUGACGCAGCCAUGCCGCGUGGAUGAUGAAGUUCUUAGGAUUGUAAAAUCCUUUCACCGGUGAAGAUAAUGGCUGUAGCCGGAGAAGAAGCCCCGGCUAACUUCGUGCCAGCCGCCGCCGUAAUAC
rnacentral:rRNA from 1 species